UACGGAGGGUGCGAGCGUUGUCCGGAUUUAUUGGGUUUAAAGGGUGCGUAGGCGGCCGUUUAAGUCCGGGGUGAAAGCCCGCUGCUCAACAGCGGAACUGCCCUGGAUACUGGAUGGCUUGAGUACAGACGAGGUUGGCGGAAUGGACAGAGUAGCGGUGAAAUGCAUAGAUACUGUCCAGAACACCGAUUGCGAAGGCAGCUGACUAGGCUGAUACUGACGCUGAGGCACGACAGCGUGGGGAGCGAACAGG
rnacentral:rRNA from 1 species